rnacentral:lncRNA from 1 species
UCUCUCUUUCUUUCUUUCUUUCUUUCUUCUGAUUUUUAUAAUAACUUGAAGAAACUUUUGGUUUUUAAAAAUCACUUUUUAUAGACUAAGCAAGAAAUAUAGGUAAUAGUUGAUAAUAAAUUUGCAUUCAGGCAGUCUAGUUGCAAAGCCUGCCUUCCUAAUUUGUGCAUUGUAUGCUAAUGAACCAUGGAAGACUGUUCUGGUUGUGUUUGUUGUUUUGUUUUGAAAUAUCUUCUCUCUGGGCCAGGUUAGUGUUGAAUUUGAGAUACUCCUGACUUCCUCCAGAGUGCUGGGAUUGCAGGUUUAUGCCACACACCUGGUUCAUGGAAGACUUUGUUCUAUUUCUUCUUGUUUCAGGCUGCGGAGUUUGAUUUGAUUGACUAAACAGUGGGAAGCCAUCAAAGGUUUUAGUGUUGCAAUGAAAACUGUAGGAUGAGAAGCCCUUUUGUGAAGUACUGGACCAAUGCAGGGAGAAAGAGAAGUGAUGGAGCUGGGUUGUUCCCUGCCUGCUCUUUAGAUUGGAUGCUUCUUGAGGGCUGGGCCAAGUGUUGCUCCUACAUUCUGCCUUUGUCUCCAUUGUCUACCUAUUGUGUAAUCUAGCAUAUUUAUUUACUAUUAAUUUUCUUUAUCUUUUUCUAUUUUAUUCUAAAAAUAUAUAUGGUGGGUGUCUAGGAGUUAAUUAAUAAAUCGCUAGACCUGGAACAGUAGCUCAACAAGUAAGUGUGCAAUCCUGUUCUUGCAGAGUGUGAGGACCUGAGUUUGAUUUCCAGCACCCACAUUAGGCAACUUCCAACUUCCUAUAACUCCAUUUCCAGGAGAUCUGACAGCCCUCUGAGCUCCUUAAGCAUGCAUACAUAAACCAAUAGUAACUAGUAAAAUAUUUUUUAAAUUAAUAAAUGUCUAGAGGCUUAUAUGAAUUAAUACAGAAAGGGAAUAAAACCCUUUGAUGGAGUAAUGGCAGCCAUACAGUUUGAUAAGCUAAAUUUUAUAUACAAAUCAGAACACAUAAUUAACUUGGGAGGGAUUUUCUAUUCUGUAUCAUUUAGAAUAGGAGUAAUCAGUUAAUAUUAUUGAUUAACUUGGGUCAGUUAGUAAUACUAAUGAUCACCAAAUUUAAAGGGCACUUAAGCUAUAAAUCGGUAUUUAUGUUCUGCAGAUAUCAAUGUCUAACUUCAAUAUUCUCAGUAUGCACACAAAAAGUUCUCAUUAGCCAGCUCAUUUACUAAUACUAAACUUGUUGAAUGUAUAUUCCAUGGUGCCCAUUUAUUUACAUGUUUUUAAGAUCAAACAGACAUCUCAUGGGAAGAAAUAGUGAUGAAUUUGUGUAUCAGAUUCCUUUUUGGGAAGUUAUUCUUUGGGUUAAGUAUCUUCCAAUAUUAUUAAUUUUUUAAAUUAUAUUUGGUUAUGAAUUUUGUUAUGCUUGUGUGUAUGUGGAGGUCAGAGGAUAACUUGUAGGAGUCUAUUUUCUCCUUUUACCGUAUGGCUCAAAAGGAUUAAACUUAAGUCAUCAGGCUCGGCAGCAAGUGCCUUUUCCUGCUGAGUAUCUCACAAGGUCCUUUUCCAUAUUUAUUUAAUGUUUUAUGAAAGUAACUCCAUGGCCUUCCUAUAAAAUAUAGACUUAAAGACUUUUUUAAAGAUUUAUUUACUUAUUUUAUGUAUUGAGUACACUGUAGACACUUCUUCAGACAUUCCAGAAGAAGGCAUUGGAUCCCAUUACAGAUGGUUGUGAGCCACCGUAUAUGGAUGCUGGGAAUUGAACUCAGAGACUCUAGAAGAACAGCCAAUGCUCUUAACUGCUGAGCCAUCUCCAGCCCCAGACUUGAAGAACUUUAAACAGUUGGAGAAAUUCCAAAGCACCAUUGUUUUCUACCGAUUGCCAGCAAUGCUGGGAAGAUUUUAGGUGAACUGCAUUUUAGUAGACUAAGAGAAAAUCAAGGCUAGGUAGGGGCCAUGCACAUGCCUGUAAUCUCAAUAUUCAGGAGCUGAAGGCAGAAGGAUUUCUAUUUCCUACCCAGUCUGGCCUAGAUAGUGAGAAGAGAGUAAGGCAAAUUAAGUACUUCCCACAGAAUGUAUUUUUAAACAUCCCUUUAGUGCCCAUUGUGGAAUUAGCUAAGAGCAAUAGGUGUGCAUAUCAAUAUUAUAUGAAUUUACAUAACAAGUGGCUAUGAAUGUUUCCUAUGAUAUAGUGUCUUUGGAACUGGAUAUGUAAUUCAGUAUUAGAGUGGUUGUUUCAAAUGCUCAAGGGCCUGGCUUGGGUCCCCAGCACCAAAAAAAACAAAUAUGGAUUUUCAGUAGAAAAAUUUUGUGGUAUAUUUAACUUGUCAACAUAUGUGGAGAUGAUAUAUUCAGAACUAUUCAGAUGAAAAUAAGCGUGUUGGGGCAGGGAUUGUGACUAGUAGUCAGUCUAUAAUGAAUGCACACCAGGUGUUGAGAUACACACACAGUUAAUGAGUAUGUUUAGGCUUCAGUUUCCAUGGAGGAUUUAUUUCAGAUCCUCUUGGAUACCAAAACUCAUAGAUGCUCAAGUUCCCUAUAUAAAAUGUCUCAUUUGCAUAUCUUUAGAUUAUUUAUAAUAUGUAAUACAAUAUAAAUACUAUGUAGUUAGUUAUACUGUAUUGUUUAAGAGUAAUAAAAAGAAUGAAUACAUAUGCAUUUUUCUGCUUACUUUUUUGAAUAAUUUAUUUUAUGUUCAUUGGAGUUUUGCCUACAUGUAUGAAAGUGACAAAAGUCUCAGACAGGUCUGAGCUGCCAUGUGGGAGCUAGGAAUCGAACCCCACAUCCUCUGGAAGAACAGCCAGUGUUCUUAGCCGCUGAGCCAUCUCUCUAGGCCUCUACCAUUUUAAUGCUGCAUCCUCAGGUACAGAGGACCAUCAAUAGUUUCUGCCUUCAAUAAAAAGUUCAUCUAGCAAGGUCCUGUGAACAUAAAAGGAGGGG